GCAGUGGGGUUUACAGCUAACUGAUCACAGCCAGUUACAGAUUUCUUUGUUCCUUCUCCGCUACUGCUGCUUCAC
rnacentral:sRNA from 1 species